rnacentral:rRNA from 1 species
GUGGGGAAUCUUCCGCAAUGGACGAAAGUCUGACGGAGCAACGCCGCGUGAGUGAUGAAGGUCUUCGGAUUGUAAUGCUCUGUUAAUCGGGACGAAAGAGCCUAGUGUGAAUAAUGCUAGGAAGUGACGGUACCGGAAUAGAAAGCCACGGCUAACUACGUGCCAGCAGCCGCGGUAAUACGUAGGUGGCAAGCGUUGUCCGGAAUUAUUGGGCGUAAAGCGCGCGCAGGCGGAUCUGCCAGUCUGUCUUAAAAGUUCGGGGCUUAACCACGUGAUGGGAUGGAAACUACAGAUCUAGAGUAUCGGAGAGGAAAGUGGAAUUCCUAGUGUAGCGGUGAAAUGCGUAGAUAUUAGGAAGAACACCAGUGGCGAAGGCGACUUUCUGGACGAAAACUGACGCUGAGGCGCGAAAGCCAGGGGAGCGAACGGGAUUAGAUACCCGGGUAGUCC